GACGAACGCUGGCGGCGUGCCUAACACAUGCAAGUCGAGCGAUGAAACCCUUCGGGGUGGAUUAGCGGCGGACGGGUGAGUAACACGUGGGUAACCUGCCUCAAAGAGGGGGAUAGCCUCCCGAAAGGGAGAUUAAUACCGCAUAAUAUUAGUUUUUCGCAUGAAGAACUAAUUAAAGGAGUAAUCCGCUUUGAGAUGGACCCGCGGCGAAUUAGCUAGUUGGUGAGGUAAAGGCUCACCAAGGCGACGAUGCGUAGCCGACCUGAGAGGGUGAUCGGCCACAUCGGAGCUGAGACACGGUCCAGACUCCUACGGGAGGCAGCAGUGGGGAAUAUUGCACAAUGGGCGAAAGCCUGAUGCAGCAACGCCGCGUGAGUGAUGAAGGCCUUCGGGUUGUAAAGCUCUGUCUUUUGGGACGAUAAUGACGGUACCAAAGGAGGAAGCCACGGCUAACUACGUGCCAGCAGCCGCCGUAACAC
rnacentral:rRNA from 1 species